GCCUGGGUGGCUCAGUGGUUGAGCAUCUGCCUUUGACUCAGGGCAUGAUCCCGGAGUCCUGGGAUCGAGUCCCACAUCGGGCU
rfam:Canis lupus familiaris chromosome 20, whole genome shotgun sequence.